AGAGUUUGAUCCUGGCUCAGAUUGAACGCUGGCGGCAGGCCUAACACAUGCAAGUCGAGCGGUAACAGAAAGUAGCUUGCUACUUUGCUGACGAGCGGCGGACGGGUGAGUAAUGCUUGGGAACAUGCCUUGAGGUGGGGGACAACAGUUGGAAACGACUGCUAAUACCGCAUAAUGUCUACGGACCAAAGGGGGCUUCGGCUCUCGCCUUUAGAUUGGCCCAAGUGGGAUUAGCUAGUUGGUGAGGUAAUGGCUCACCAAGGCAACGAUCCCUAGCUGGUUUGAGAGGAUGAUCAGCCACACUGGAACUGAGACACGGUCCAGACUCCUACGGGAGGCAGCAGUGGGGAAUAUUGCACAAUGGGCGAAAGCCUGAUGCAGCCAUGCCGCGUGUGUGAAGAAGGCCUUCGGGUUGUAAAGCACUUUCAGUCAGGAGGAAAGGGUGUGAGUUAAUACCUCAUAUCUGUGACGUUACUGACAAAAGAAGCACCGGCUAACUCCGUGCCAGCAGCCGCGGUAAUACGGAGGGUGCGAGCGUUAAUCGGAAUUACUGGGCGUAAAGCGUACGCAGGCGGUUUGUUAAGCGAGAUGUGAAAGCCCCGGGCUCAACCUGGGAACUGCAUUUCGAACUGGCAAACUAGAGUGUGAUAGAGGGUGGUAGAAUUUCAGGUGUAGC
rnacentral:rRNA from 1 species